CCUCUCUCUCUCUCUCUCUCUCUCUCUCUCUCUCUCUCUCUCUCUUAAUGCAACCCUGACCGUGCAACCCUCUCUCUCCCUCCUUCAAUCCCUACCACCACAAGUAGGGACAACCCGCCCGCCGCCACUCUCUCUCUCUCCCUCUCCCCUAUGCAGACCUCAAAGUGAUUGGCUUAAGAGAGAACUUCAGUACUUGAGAUAUAUGGUUGGAGCGAUCAGCCUGCCGAAGCAAAUGACACUUAUUGUGGGAUAAGAAGCAGAGCAAUGUAUGAGGUUCAUGUACCAAUCAAUAGGAAUUAUACCACCUCCACACCCAUUUCAUAGAUAUUUGAUAUGUCCUUGCAUCGAUGUGAACCUGCUUUCAAUCAUUUCUGAUAGAUCACCAAAAAGAAAAA